rnacentral:rRNA from 1 species
UAGGGAAUCUUCGGCAAUGGGGGGAACCCUGACCGAGCAACGCCUCGUGAGUGAAUAAGGUUUUCGGAUCGUAAAGCUCUGUUGUUAAGGAAGAACGAGUGUGAGAAUGGAAAGUUCAUGCUGUGACGGUACUUAACCAGAAAGGGACGGCUAACUACGUGCCAGCAGCCGCGGUAAUUCGUAGGUCCCGAGCGUUGUCCGGAUUUAUUGGGCGUAAAGCGAGCGCAGGCGGUUAGAAAAGUCUGAAGUGAAAGGCAGUGGCUCAACCAUUGUAGGCUUUGAAGACUGUUUAGCUUGAGUGCAGAAGGGGAGGGAGGAAUUCCAUGUGUAGCGGUGAAAUGCGUAGAGAUAUGGAGGAACACCGGUGACGAAAGCGGCGCGCUGGACUGUAACUGACGCUGAGGCACGAAAGCGUGGGGAGCGAACAGG